AGACAGCUCCCCGAGUAAAGCCAGGCACAUGCCAUCACAGCUUUCAUUUCUUGGUCAGCCAAGACCACUGAGCAGGAGAUCCAAAAUAUCUUUAUUUUAGCUGCAGUGAAAAUGAGACAGGGGGUUUAAGAACCACACAACAGACACACCAGGCAAGACAAAGGAAUUCAAAUUUAUAAAAUACUGUGCCCUUUCCUACAUCUAGAGGACCAAAAGAUGGUAGUAUACGCACUGGUAACCUCAAGGUUAGAAUUCUGCAAUGUGCUUUACAUUGGGCUUCUCUUGUACCAAGUUUGGAAACAUGUACCAAGUUUGGAUUGUACAGGAUCUCGUACAAUCUGUCCUGAACAUGUAGGUCCUCUCGGGGUGACUACUCCAGCCCACAGGAACCCGAAUGGAGGCUGUCACUCAGAGGACUUUUUCAUUGGCCGUUCCUAGACUGUGGAAUGACCUGUUAGAUUAGAUCUGACAGCCAAUGAGCUGUCAAAAUUUAAAACACAUUUGAAGAUCUCUCUUUCAGCAGGCCUACCCAGCAAGUUUUAAUUACAAAUUUUAAACUUGUGUCUUAUGUUUUUUCUGUGUAUUUUAAAAUUUAUUUUGUGGAAAUACAUGUUAAUAUGUGUAUUUUGUACAAUGUUUUGAUGAUUAUUUGUUUUUAUUUUAUUUGUUUAUUAUGUUUAUUUAUAACCUGCUUUAACUCUCCAUACAGAGACUCAAAGCAGCUCACAACUAAAAACAUUUCAAUACAAUUUAAAAUAUACAAAUAUACAAAUAUUUUUAGCAAUGUUGUAAUCCACCGCGAGCCAAGAGGAGCAGUGGGUUAUGAUGGUGCCCUGCCUACCUUUACAGAAAGGGAAUGCAUCACUCAAGAUAUAUGGGCAUUUUGCUCUGAAAGUGAAUGUGAGAUGAACAAUGCUGGAAAUUCAUUGAUAGGAUACUGUGAAGGAGGAAAAAACUGCUGUGCAAAGUGAAAUGAAAAGUCCGAUUGAAGGAUUGGAGAAACAUUUCACCAAUGCCCUUCAGGAAUCAUUCUUAUUUCAAGUACAAAUUGGAUUGGCCUGAGGAUAACAUUAUGAAGGAGUGGAGAGCAUCAAAUAAUCCAUCCUGUUUUUGUUUUAUGUUAUUGCAUGGAAUUUUGAAUAAACAAUAAAUUUCUCAA